UCCACUCCGCGGCGGGGGCGAGCUCACCGGAGAUGGCGGCGUACGAGAAGGAGAAGAGGCGGCUGCUGGACCUGGCCGUCGAGUCCGGCUUCGAGCGCGGCCUCGCCGCCGACUGCCUCGACAGGCUCGUCCGCCUCUACGGAGAGGGUGGACAAGGAUUUAUUACUGUAGAGAACUGCGGAGUUGAUUUUCUUGGCGCACUAGCUGAUGCAACAAAAGACAAUGAUGAUUGGGAAGACCUAAAUGCCAUAGAGAAUGAAGCUUGCGGCAAUUUGAAUGACAUGCUGAGGAAUGAUGAUUCGGACUCUGAGGCAUUGGAUGAAAUGGAAACCCGCUCGGUCAGUACUCAGAAGAAGGCACGGUCCAGAAACUCUGAACUGCAGAGUACAAGCUCCGCUAAGUCUGUUGUAACCAGAGGAAGAUGUGAAUCAUCUACCCCAACUUCAAAUAGAGAGAAGCAUCCCAAUGCAGUUCAUCAAAAAACAGAAACUCUAAGUUAUGAACAGCUUUCUUGCCUAGAUAACAUCAAUUUUGCAAAUGUUGUUAUCUUUGGCAACAAAAGCUUUAGGCCGCUGCAGUAUGAAGCGUGUAGGGCUGCACUGGAUAAUAUAGAUACCUUUGUGCUUAUGCCAACAGGUGGUGGGAAGAGCUUGUGUUAUCAGCUCCCGGCAACAUUGCAUCCAGGCAUUACUGUUGUGGUUUGCCCACUUCUGUCACUUAUCGAGGAUCAGAUUGUGGCUUUAACCUUCAAGUUUGGUAUACCAUCAGCAUUCUUGAAUUCUCAGCAAACACCUUCACAGUCAUCUGCUGUUAUCCAACAGCUUAGAAGUGGUAAACCCUCAUUCAAACUCCUCUAUGUCACUCCUGAGAGAUUGGUCGGAAACAGCUCAUUUAUGGGGAUCCUUAUAGGUUUACACCAGAGGGGAUCAUUGGCAAGAUUUGUGAUUGAUGAAGCACAUUGUGUGAGUCAAUGGGGGCAUGACUUCCGUCCAGAUUACCGAGGGCUGGGAUGCCUCAAACAAAACUUCCCUCGAGUCCCAAUUAUGGCUUUAACAGCUACAGCGACUGAAUCUGUUCGCAAGGACAUCCUAAGUACCUUGAGGAUCCCUAAUGCAAUGGUACUCAAGAAGAGCUUUGACAGAACAAACCUCAAUUAUGAGGUGAUUGGCAAGACAAAAACUCCGCAUAACCAGCUUGGUGAUCUCCUGAAAGACCGUUUCAUGAACAUGUCAGGUAUUGUGUACUGUCUGUCCAAAAAUGAAUGUGCUGACACAGCAAAGUUCUUAAGGGAGAAGUACAAGAUAAAAUGUUCGCAUUACCAUGCUGGCUUGUCGGCUCGUCAGCGAACUAGCGUACAGGGAAAAUGGCACAAUGGGGAGGUCAAAGUCAUCUGUGCCACCAUAGCAUUUGGCAUGGGAAUAGACAAACCUGAUGUGAGGUUUGUUAUCCACAAUACAAUGUCAAAAUCAAUAGAAAGCUACUAUCAGGAAUCAGGGAGAGCAGGAAGAGACAAUCUUCCAGCACAUUGCAUUGUGUUAUAUCAGAAAAAGGACAUUGGUCACAUUAUUUGCAUGCUCAGAAAUUCAGGUAACUUCAAGAGCGAGAGCUUCAAGUUUGCAAUGGAUCAAGCAAAGAAAAUGCAAGCAUAUUGCGAGCUGAAGACUGAGUGCCGGAGGCAAACUCUUCUUGGGCACUUCGGUGAACAGUACAACAGGCAAAGAUGCAAAGAUGGGUGUAGCCCCUGCGACAACUGCAUGAAGAUCCCUUCUUGAGAGCCUUUUCCUUCUACCUAAUGCUGUUAAUACUGAUGUAUAGCCUUGGAAAAGGACGCAAUGUUGUGCUUGUCGUAAUGCGGUUGAUAUUUUGGACUUGCAGACCAUUACUCCUGAGAACAAAAUCCUUUUUGUUUUCAUGAAAGGCCUUUAUUUCAGUGAAUUCUCUAUUGAGGUUUAUGCAUUAUUCUGUUCGCUUUAAAGAGAUCAAGGAGAUAUCAGGAGUUCAUCAAAUCCGUAGUCUGAAGGUGGAAGGAUUUGUCUUCCAACCUGAGUAGGGCCA